AGGAGGAGGAGGCGGCUACUGGGGAAGCAGCGCCAGCAGCAGCAGCAGCAGCAGCAGCAGCAAAAGCACCAGCGGAGCCGGCGUCCCCAAAGCCCACCAUGGCUGCUGCCUCUGCUGCCUCUGCUGCUGGGAUUGUCUCCGUCGCUCUGGCCUCGCUCCUGGUGGGGAUCUGCGAAGGGGUCACCGGCUCCCGGGUCUAUCCCGCCAAUGAAGUUACUCUGUUGGAUUCCAGAUCAGUUCAGGGUGAGCUUGGUUGGAUAGCAAGUCCAUUGGAAGGAGGGUGGGAGGAAGUGAGCAUUAUGGAUGAGAAAAAUACUCCCAUCCGCACGUAUCAAGUCUGCAAUGUGAUGGAGCCAAGUCAGAACAAUUGGUUACGAACUGAUUGGAUUCCACGAGAAGGGGCUCAGAGGGUUUAUAUUGAAAUCAAGUUCACACUAAGAGACUGCAACAGCCUGCCAGGUGUCAUGGGAACUUGCAAAGAGACUUUUAAUCUCUAUUACUAUGAGUCAAGCAAUGACAAGGAACGCUUUAUUCGGGAAAGCCAGUUUGCAAAGAUUGACACUAUUGCUGCUGAUGAAAGCUUCACGCAGGUGGACAUUGGUGACCGGAUCAUGAAACUCAAUACAGAGAUACGUGAUGUGGGACCACUGAGCAAGAAGGGAUUUUACCUGGCUUUCCAGGAUGUUGGGGCAUGCAUUGCCUUGGUGUCUGUCCGUGUUUUCUACAAAAAGUGUCCAUUGACAGUCCGCAACUUGGCUCAGUUUCCAGACACUAUCACUGGGGCUGAUACCUCUUCUCUGGUGGAAGUUCGUGGUUCAUGUGUCAACAAUUCUGAAGAGAAGGAUGUGCCAAAAAUGUACUGUGGGGCAGAUGGUGAAUGGCUAGUUCCCAUUGGGAACUGCCUAUGCAAUGCUGGGUAUGAAGAGCGUAAUGGAGAAUGCCAAGCUUGCAAGAUUGGAUACUACAAGGCCCUCUCAACAGAUGUUGCCUGUGCUAAAUGCCCACCUCACAGUUUCUCCAUCUGGGAAGGCUCUACCUCUUGCACCUGUGAUCCAGGCUUUUUUCGAUCAGAAAAUGAUGCUGCUGCCAUGCCCUGCACUCGACCUCCUUCUGCUCCUGAAAACCUGAUAUCCAAUGUCAAUGAAACAUCUGUAAAUCUGGAAUGGAGCCCUCCUCAGAACAAAGGUGGCCGUGAGGAUAUUUCCUACAAUGUGGUGUGCAAGAGAUGUGGAGCCAGUGAUCUGAACCGUUGUCGGUCCUGUGGAAGUGGUGUACACUUCAGCCCACAGCAGAAUGGCUUGAAAACUACCAGGGUUUCCAUUACUGACCUUUUGGCACACACUAACUACACCUUUGAAAUUUGGGCAGUGAAUGGAGUAUCCAAGCAGAAUCCAAGCCCAGAUCAGGCUGUUUCUGUCACAGUGACAACUAACCAAGCAGCUCCAUCUCAAAUUGCUUUGAUCCAGGCUAAAGAAAUAACAAGACACAGUGUGGCAUUGGCUUGGCUGGAACCUGACAGACCAAAUGGAGUAAUCUUGGAAUAUGAAGUCAAAUAUUAUGAAAAGGAUCAAAAUGAGCGCAGCUAUCGCAUUGUGAAAACUGCAGCCAGAAACACAGAUAUCAAAGGCUUGAAUCCUUUAACUUCAUAUGUCUUCCAUGUGAGAGCGAGGACAGCAGCUGGGUAUGGAGACUUCAGUGGGCCAUUUGAGUUCACAACAAACACAGUCCCAUCUCCCAUCAUUGGCGAAGGGACCAACCCCACAGUCCUUCUGGUCUCCGUGGCUGGCAGUGUUGUCCUUGUGGUCAUUCUCAUUGCUGCCUUUGUCAUCAGCAGGAGACGGAGCAAGUACAGUAAGGCAAAGCAAGAAGCAGAUGAGGAAAAACAUUUGAAUCAAGGUGUUAGGACAUAUGUAGAUCCCUUCACUUAUGAAGACCCCAACCAAGCUGUGCGGGAAUUUGCCAAAGAAAUUGAUGCUUCUUGCAUAAAGAUUGAAAAAGUCAUUGGUGUUGGUGAAUUUGGUGAAGUUUGCAGUGGCCGUCUCAAGGUUCCAGGAAAGAGGGAGAUCUGUGUUGCUAUCAAAACUCUGAAAGCUGGAUACACAGACAAACAGAGAAGGGACUUCUUGAGUGAAGCCAGCAUCAUGGGACAGUUUGACCACCCCAACAUCAUCCACUUGGAAGGGGUUGUUACAAAAUGCAAACCUGUCAUGAUCAUAACUGAGUAUAUGGAGAAUGGUUCUUUGGAUGCUUUUCUCAGGAAGAAUGAUGGCAGAUUUACUGUAAUCCAGUUGGUUGGAAUGCUUCGUGGCAUUGGCUCUGGAAUGAAGUAUUUGUCUGACAUGAGCUAUGUGCAUCGAGAUCUAGCAGCUCGAAACAUACUUGUCAACAGCAAUUUGGUCUGUAAAGUUUCAGAUUUUGGCAUGUCCCGUGUUCUGGAAGAUGACCCUGAAGCAGCCUAUACUACAAGGGGUGGUAAGAUUCCCAUCAGGUGGACUGCACCAGAAGCAAUUGCCUAUCGUAAAUUUACCUCUGCUAGUGAUGUCUGGAGUUACGGAAUUGUAAUGUGGGAAGUGAUGUCAUAUGGAGAGAGGCCAUACUGGGAUAUGUCCAAUCAGGACGUUAUCAAAGCCAUUGAAGAGGGCUAUCGGCUGCCACCCCCAAUGGACUGUCCAAUCGCACUCCAUCAGUUGAUGCUGGACUGCUGGCAGAAGGAGCGGAGUGACAGGCCUAAAUUUGGACAGAUUGUCAACAUGCUGGACAAACUCAUCCGCAACCCCAACAGCUUGAAGAGGACAGGCUCUGAAAACUCCAGGCCUAAUACUGCUUUGUUGGAUCCAAGUUCUCCUGAAUUCUCUGCUGUAGUUUCUGUUGGAGAUUGGCUCCAAGCUAUUAAGAUGGAGCGAUACAAGGAUAACUUCACAGCUGCUAGCUAUACUACCCUAGAGGCUGUAGUGCAUAUGAACCAGGAUGACCUGUUGAGAAUUGGAAUUACUGCCAUUGCACACCAGAAUAAGAUUCUGAGCAGCGUCCAGGCAAUGAGGACCCAAAUGCAGCAAAUGCAUGGCAGAAUGGUUCCAGUUUGAGCCAGUACUCAAUAAACUCUGAACUCUUGAAAUUAGUUUACCUCAUCCAUGCACUUUAAUUGAAGAACUGCACUUUUUUACUUCUUCUCCUCGCCGUUUGAAAUAAUAAUAUUAAUAAUAAAAAGUGAUUUGCAGCAUUAAUUGAUAUAUAAAGAUUGCUGAGAGUGUUGCGUGGAGAUGACCUACAGAUAUGACAACCCGUCAUUUGAGAACAGGCCUGGAACAAAUUGUUUCAUGGAAUAUACUUCUGUCUGGAUCAACAUUAUGUAAUAUAUCUAUAUAACAUCACAUACAAGUUCUGAUGCUGUGUUUGCUGCCACAUAUUGUGCUUAAAGGAAGGAGAGCACUGUUGUUCCGCCAGCAGCCAUUGGGAUUACAGUCAUUGUGUUUGAUCUGUGGAAUAAACCACAGUUGUGCAUUUUGUAUUGGAAUGAAGAAUCUUCUGUACCAGGAAAUGUUGGCAUACUCUAAGGAUCAAUGGUACCUUGCUGAAAACUUGAGGGAGAGUUUCCUUUGGCUGAUCAGUGUCACUGAAUCGAAGAUCUGUUUAUUUGCAAAUGGAGGCAGAGUGCAACCUUUGUGGAUUACAGGAUUAUUGUUUUUUUGAAAGAGGGAAUUGUGGUUGCUUUUGUGGAAUCCUGACUCACAAUGCCACCCUUUUUGACAACAACUAGUCAGCCAUUAUUGACUAAGGAUCUUCCAGAUGUCCAUCCUUUUGCCUUUCCAAUAGACAACAGAUGGUUCAACACUGUAAAGGGAAAAAUGGAUCCUGCUCUCUUAGACUCAGCCCUUCCUGGUGCCCACCGUGAUCUUGGAGGAUAACAGACCAGAGGCAAAAACUGUCUCGUCUCCCAGUUCUGUUGAUCACUGACUGUAGAGAAGAUGGACUGUUUAUAAACAGCAUAACUUGAAGAGUGUCUCUAUUGCUUUCUUCUUCUACUGGAAAUUUUUUUUAUUGUUGUUGGCAACAAAAACAAAAGACACUAAGGCUCAGAUAUGGUUCUUUCAUUGCCACCUAAGGAAUGUACUGUAUGAAAGCCCUACAGACUUCUUUUUUCUCACUCCAUUUAUUAAAAAAAUAUUUUGGGGGGAUGUUUGUUUUGCUUUUGCAUGUCACUGAUGCAUCUGUAUGAGAGUUAAGUAGCAGAACCCUACAAUUCAGAAGAAUGACAGGGUUAGGUGCCACAGCACAGAACCCAGUUCACAGAAGCUAAGACUACAUUUGACAGUGAAAUGUGCCAUUAUGAUAAUGUCAAUAUUUUUAAUAGAAUGGAAAAUAACUUAUUAUCUCUUCCAGGAAUGUGUGAGUAUGUGUAUUGCCUGGGGGAGGGGGUGUAUGUAUGUGUGCAUGCAUGUAUGUGUGUUUUUUAUGUUGCCUGUUGUGCAGAGCCACCUGUAAACAUGCAGUUUGCAUUUCAAGAUAACUUGACAGUUUCUCACUGAGCUGUUGAGUUACUAGGCCAGUGGGUGAGCUAUGCAACAGUAGCAAGAAAACACACACGCACACACACUCCUGAAUGUUACGGUUCUGUAUCUAUUCUUGUAUUACACAGCUGCCACACUAACCUUAAUAAAUAGUUAUCCAGCCUAGAGUGGGGGCACUUUCACUUUAGUUGUGGAGUGAUCCAUAGUGAGUUCCAUAAUGGUGAUAAAGAACAACAUAGAUGACCAUUAGUCUUGCCACAGCCUGUUCAUUAUUGAAGCAGUGGUACAUUAAGGGAAAGUAGGUGAGAUGAAGUCUUAUGCAUCAUCAGGUUGUUUUGGACUGAACUGAUAUAAACAGCCUUUCCCCCCUCCCUCUUGAAAAGUAAGUUUUGAAAGAUUUGUUGAACACAAACAGAAAUAUACAAUCCUUAUACAUUCCCAGAAGUAAAUUAUUCAGUGGCCUAUCUGCAAGGACUUUGGGCCCAUAAAUUGACUGGUGAGCAAACGCUUUACUUCUUCAUUGAAGUUAAUAAAUAGAUGAAGAUUAGCAAGAAGUUUGUAAAAACACCUGGUGUUCUUAGCAUGGAUAAAUUACUAUCCAAGGCUACAAUAAGAUUUGUUAAAGUAAUGACUUAACUUGUGCUAUGUAGCAGAGUUUGCUGAGUCUGGAGAGUUCACCGUUAAUUUUCUGUGUACUCUGCGUAGAACCAAGCUGAAUGCGGGAGUCUAGGGAAUGGAGAUGCCAUUCUUUAUUUUGAGGUUAGCAGUUGAUGUACUCGACCUGCUUUCUGGUUGCAGAAGACUCUUCCCUACUGAGAUACAAUGCAGCACAGCAAGCUCAAACAGGACAGUCAGACCAACAUGCCUUGGGGGCAAAAACCUCAAGGAGUGUGUAAAUAUUGCAUUAAAAAUGUUUGGCUUUGACUAUAAAUCUAAAAUUGCUCAGGAGUUAGUUUCCAUUCUUGCUUCUUCUUCCCCCCAUCCUUUUCUUUUUCUGUUUUUAGAUUAUUUUUGUUGGUCUGCUGAACACAAAAUUCAAGUUCAAUAUUACUUGCCUCAAGUGGUUGUGAUGGCAUUGCUGUCAAGGAGCCAGAGGGUGUAUACUAUGUACUGCAAACGAGGCUUAUUCCAGUUGCAGCCAAUGUACUAAGCAUGACUUAGACAAAAGAAAAAAAAACAUGAACAUAUACCACCCCCCCCCCCC